rnacentral:snoRNA from 1 species
UCUCCCAUUGCCUCGCUCGGCCACAUGCACCCAUGUGUGGUCUUGAGCUGGAUGCCGCCCCAUGGGGCGGCAACGGGACAUAGCGACCUCUUGCGGGCUCAACUUUGAGUACGCUUGCACCACGGCAUGCCAAUGGUGCAAGUGUAAUUAUUCGAGCCUGACAUCU